AAGAAUUCUCAGGGCGGGGUGAAACUCCCCACCGGCGGUAGUCCCAACAGGGAAAGCCCGCGAGCGCUUGCAGUUGAUAUUGCAAGGUCAGCAGAUCUGGUCCAGAACACGGUCAUGCCAUGUUUGAUUCCAGAGCCGACGGUUAUAGUCCGGAUGAAAGAGGAUUUCA
rnacentral:ncRNA from 1 species